rnacentral:rRNA from 1 species
UACGUAGGGGGCAAGCGUUGUCCGGAUUUAUUGGGCGUAAAGAGCGUGUAGGCGGCCAGGUAGGUCCGUUGUGAAAACUCGAGGCUCAACCUCGAGACGCCGAUGGAAACCAUCUGGCUAGAGUCCGGAAGAGGAGAGUGGAAUUCCCGGUGUAGCGGUGAAAUGCGCAGAUAUCGGGAAGAACACCCGUGGCUAAGGCGGCUCUCUAGUACGGUACUAACGCUGAGACGCGAAAGCGUGGGGAGCGAACAGG